CGAGAUUCCCCCAGUAGCGGCGAGCGAACGGGGAGCAGCCCAGAGCCUGAAUCAGUGUGUGUGUUAGUGGAAGCGUCUGGAAAGGCGCGCGAUACAGGGUGACAGCCCCGUACACAAAAAUGCACAUGCUGUGAGCUCGAUGAGUAGGGCGGGACACGUGGUAUCCUGUCUGAAUAUGGGGGGACCAUCCUCCAAGGCUAAAUACUCCUGACUGACCGAUAGUGAACCAGUACCGUGAGGGAAAGGCGAAAAGAAC
rnacentral:rRNA from 1 species